rnacentral:rRNA from 1 species
UGACGAAGGGGGCUAGCUGUUGCUCGGAAUCACUGGGCGUAAAGCGCACGUAGGCGGAUCUUUAAGUCAGGGGUGAAAUCCCAACGGCUCAACCUUGGAACUGCCUUUGAUACUGGGGAUCUCGAGUCCGGAAGAGGUUGGUGGAACUGCGAGUGUAGAGGUGAAAUUCGUAGAUAUCGCAAGAACACCAGUGGCGGAAGGCGGCC